UAGAUUGGAUUUUCAACUCUGGAUAGACCUCUAGGUUUCAGCAGACUAAGAGCCCACGGGUCGUGGUGCACCCAAUCUUGAUUUAGUCCGGCCGGAUUUCGGGGCCAAUAAUUGUGAUACUCUAAAAGAACAUCCCUGUCCCUUCGUUGACAAUUACCAUCCUGGCAACUUAUAAUUGAACCAUCCGCAUGUAUCGCAUCAAAUCUUCAUAACUCUAUCCAUCGCCUCAUGGCAGAUUUUAAAUUGGGUGUUCAGUUUGUUUUUCUCUUUGGUAAGCUGGUCUUUAGUUUGUUCAGGACUGCUUUCCAGCAGCUAAUUUGAUAGUGGACAGAUAGCGGCGUUACUUUUCACAUGAGUUUAACUCCCAGCUGCGACCCUAAUUCAUUUAAAGCACUCACGUCAUUCAACAAAAUCCAGCCGAUAAAACAGUAACUGCGUGCGAGACCUUGCAUGAAAGUAAAACAAAAAUCAUGCUGGCGGCCCUUUCCUC
rnacentral:lncRNA from 1 species